CCUCGUCUGGUACUGCCCGGUACGCUUCGGCGGCUCGCCCAGAUAAUCUCCCCGCUAGUAGGGGUACUCUGUCUGCAUCAUUAAUUUCAUGCAGCAAACACAGUCUCUCGAAGUCCUGUAAAUAGUCGUCAACGCCACCCUCUGUCUCCACAUAGCUUUUGAAGGCUUGAUAUGGGAUUUUGGCUUUCCCUGGGAAAAUAUGGACUGGCGUUGCGGCUCUUUCCCCGGCUUGCUGGUUCCCUG